rnacentral:rRNA from 1 species
GACGAACGCUGGCGGCGUGCUUAACACCUGCAAGUCGAACGAAGUGGCGAACGGGUGAGUAACGCGUAAUCAACCUGCCCUUCAGAGGGGGACAACUGUUGGAAACCACUGCUAAUACCGCAUACGGAAGGAGGGGUUUGCGGCUGAUUAGCUAGUUGGAGGGGUCACGGGCCACCAAGGCGAUGCUCAGUAGCCGGUCUGAGAGGGUGAACGGCAACAUUGGGACUGAGACACGGCCCAGACUCCUACGGGAGGCAGCAGUGGGGAAUCUUCCGCAAUGGACGAAAGUCUGACGGAGCAACGCCGCGUGAGUGAUGACGGCCUUCGGGUUGUAAAGCUCUGUUAAUCGGGACGCGGUACCGGAAUAGAAAGCCACGGCUAACUACGUGCCAGCAGCCGCGGUAAUUC